GAUGAACGCUGGCGGCGUGCUUAACACAUGCAAGUCGAACGAUGAAGCUCAGCUUGCUGGGUGGAUUAGUGGCGAACGGGUGAGUAACACGUGAGUAACCUGCCCUUAACUCUGGGAUAAGCCUGGGAAACUAGGUCUAAUACCGGAUAGGAGCGCCUACCGCAUGGUGGGUGUUGGAAAAAUUUAUCGGUUUUGGAUGGACUCGCGGCGUAUCAGCUUGUUGGUGAGGUAAUGGCUCACCAAGGCGACGACGGGUAGCCGGCCUGAGAGGGUGACCGGCCACACUGGGACUGAGACACGGCCCAGACUCCUACGGGAGGCAGCAGUGGGGAAUAUUGCACAAUGGGCGAAAGCCUGAUGCAGCGACGCCGCGUGCGGGAUGACGGCCUUCGGGUUGUAAACCUCUUUCAGUAGGGAAGAAGCGAAAGUGACGGUACCUGCAGAAGAAGCACCGGCUAACUACGUG
rnacentral:rRNA from 1 species